rnacentral:rRNA from 1 species
CAGUAGCCGCGGUAAGACAGAGGAUGCAAGCGUUAUCCGGAAUGAUUGGGCGUAAAGCGUGCGUAGGCGGCUUCUUAAGUCGGAUGUGAAAUCCCUGAGCUUAACUUAGGAAUUGCAUUCGAUACUGGGAAGCUAGAGUAUGGGAGAGGAUGGUAGAAUUCCAGGUGUAGCGGUGAAAUGCGUAGAGAUCUGGAGGAAUACCGAUGGCGAAGGCAGCCAUCUGGCCUAAUACUGACGCUGAGGUACGAAAGCAUGGGGAGCAAACAGGAUUAGAUACCCCUGUAGUCCCUGUCUCUUAUAC